GACGUAGGGCGCGAGCGUUGUCCGGAUUUAUUGGGCGUAAAGAGCGUGUAGGCGGCCAGGUAGGUCUGCUGUGAAAACUCGAGGCUCAACCUCGAGACGUCGGCGGAAACCAUCUGGCUAGAGUCCGGAAGAGGAGAGUGGAAUUCCUGGUGUAGCGGUGAAAUGCGCAGAUAUCAGGAGGAACACCGGUGGUGUAGACGGCUUUCUGGACCGUAACUGACGCUGAAACACGAAAGCGUGGGUAGCAAACAGG
rnacentral:rRNA from 1 species